CUGUUCUGACCGUUGACCGUAAGCACUAAUGUUUGAAAUGCGUUUUUUAGGGGACCUAUAGUAUACCGAGGCUAUAAGGGACGAACCCACUGCCAAACGAGUGGCUGUGUUGUGAUACUUCAGUUUUAAGGUUAAACGUGACCAUGUGUACGGCAGAUUUAUUAGCCUACCUUAAAUAUCUCAAGUGUUAGACUGUCAGGAUGUGGUUGUGUUGGGUGGUCUGGGUAUACGGAACAUGCCUGCUAUUUAGUGGUAUGGUAAGGGUUGAGUUUACUGAACGUGUCAGGGUCUUGUGACCGUGUCUACAUACCUCUUACAGAUUUAUCGUGGAGCGUCUUUCUUUCAGUACUUUGUAUUUAUUUUGACGCGAUAUGAAUGAAUUCGCGAAACAUGCGGUUCGAAUAAGCCUUCAACGUCGCAACAAAUCCUUAAAGUGGUUAGCAGCUGCAGUGGGCGAUCUUCUGUUCCCUGCGUUCGCUUUCCUCCGACCGGGCCAAACAUCCAGAUCAGGUCAGAGUCGGACCACGCCGUUACCUCCUCAACCAAGCGGAGAACAUCCAGAUCAGAGGCUGGAGCUUUGAAGAUAUCCCAGCACUGUCUCUUCAGAUUCCUGAGCUGCUGAGAAGAGACGAAUCGCCCUGCUCCUAACUACAGAGAGGUCCACAUGUGAGUGUGUAUGUGUUCAUGUGUGUCCGUGUGUGAAUGCAUUUGCGUGUGCACGUGAAUGUUCUGUUGGGUUUCUGUGCCUUCUUCUGAGUCCGCUAUGCCUGGCCCCUUGUGCUUUGACCAAAAAUUCCAGCUGUGUCAUCAAUGUCUUAUUUCAUGAUAUCCAGCAAACACCGGGUUGUUUUUAGGCUUUUGGUUCUCCGGUGAUUUCUACAUCACAGAGCGCAGCCACAAAUACACACGUGUUCAUCAGCAUAUCCAACGGGGGUCGGAUGGCAUGUUUUGAAAAACGCAGUGAGGUGUCUGUAUGAAACCAGAGCCAGGCUGGAAGUAUCUCCAGAAACAUCCGGUUUAUUUUCCACUGCAGUGAAAUGUUCAGGACAGGAGCGUGGGCACACUGUUACACAACAGAAGGAUUACUUCAGGUAAAUAGUUAAUCAACAUUGUAGAACAUUACAAAACGGUACAAGUGAUGUAGGAAUAGGAUUGAAAUGGAUUUAUGUGUAUGCAAGGUAUUUCACCUAUGAAAUACAAUGCAGAAAGCAUAAAAACAUUUAUACUCUUGUCAUUGUAUUCAAAUGCAUUUAUACAAACGUUGGAUCACAGCAUCUGAGGCCCAAGAGUAAAUUGUAUUGCCAAUCACUUGUACAGCGAUAAAGGAAACGUGUCCCGCCACAAAGUGUUUUUGUACCACACCUUGCUUCUGAUCGGAGGGCAGCUGACGGAGUGUCUUUGAUGAUGAAUCUUGGGGGGAAAAUCCUUUACUGUCCUGGUUUUCUGUUUGUUUGUUUUUUAUUUUCCCCCUACUGGACAUCUCUGAUGAGAGGAAAGCUUUCUGUCUUCUUGUGAUGAUUCAACUCUGGUCGAGAGAGAUAAAACAACAGCGAUUCAGAUCUCUCCUCUGUCUGAUAAAAACCUGCAGAGGGGAAUGAAUUGGAGAGUAGCGUCGGUUGAAAUUAUAAAUUCAGUCACUGCUGGGGAAGAGACAGUUGGUGUGUGUGUGUGUGUGUGUGUGUGUGUGUGUGUGUGUGUGUGUGUGUGUGUGUGUGUGUGUGUGUGUGUGUGUGUGUGUGUGUGUGUGUGUGUGUGUGUGUGUGUGUGUG